rnacentral:rRNA from 1 species
CCCUUAGAUGUUCUGGGCCGCACGCGCGCUGCACUGACUACUUCAACGAGUUGUUUCCUUGAUCGAAAGGUCUGGGUAAUCUUUGAAAGGUAGUCGUGAUGGGGAUAGAUCCUUGCAAUUUUUGAUCUUCAACGAGGAAUUCCUAGUAAACGCAAGUCAUCAGCUUGCAUUGAUUACGUCCCUGCCCUUUGUACACACCGCCCGUCGCACCUACCGAUUGAAUGGUCCGGUGAAUCUUUAGGACUGUGGCUGAGGCCUUGCCUUGUGCGGGUCUGGCCGUGGGAAUUUAGUUAAACCUUACCAUUUAGAGGAAGGUGAAGUCGUAACA